rnacentral:rRNA from 1 species
CCUACGGGGGGCUGCAGUGGGGAAUAUUGGGCAAUGGGCGAAAGCCUGACCCAGCAAUGCCGCGUGAAUGAAGAAGGUCUUAGGAUUGUAAAAUUCUGUCCUAUGGGAAGAAAAAAAUGACGGUACCUGAGUAAGAAGCCCCGGCUAACUACGUGCCAGCAGCCGCGGUAAUACGUAGGGGGCAAGCGUUAUCCGGAUUUACUGGGUGUAAAGGGAGCGUAGACGGCAGUGCAAGUCUGGAGUGAAAGGCGGGGGCUCAACCCCCGGACUGCUCUGGAAACUGUACGGCUGGAGUGCAGGAGAGGUAAGUGGAAUUCCUAGUGUAGCGGUGAAAUGCGUAGAUAUUAGGAGGAACACAAGUGGCGAAGGCGGCUUACUGGACUGUAACUGACGUUGAGGCUCGAAAGCGUGGGGAGCAAACAGGAUUAGAUACCCGUGUAGUC